AGUGAACGCUGGCGGUAGGCCUAACACAUGCAAGUCGAACGGCAGCACAGUAAGAGCUUGCUCUUACGGGUGGCGAGUGGCGGACGGGUGAGGAAUACAUCGGAAUCUACUUUUUCGUGGGGGAUAACGUAGGGAAACUUACGCUAAUACCGCAUACGACCUACGGGCGAAAGCAGGGGAUCUUCGGACCUUGCGCGAUUGAAUGAGCCGAUGUCGGAUUAGCUAGUUGGCGGGGUAAAGGCCCACCAAGGCGACGAUCCGUAGCUGGUCUGAGAGGAUGAUCAGCCACACUGGAACUGAGACACGGUCCAGACUCCUACGGGAGGCAGCAGUGGGGAAUAUUGGACAAUGGGCGCAAGCCUGAUCCAGCCACACCGCGUGGGUGAAGAAGGCCUUCGGGUUGUAAAGCCCUUUUGUUGGGAAAGAAAAGCAGCAGGUUAAUACCCCGCUGUUCUGACGGUACCCAAAGAAUAAGCACCGGCUAACUUCGUG
rnacentral:rRNA from 1 species